AUUGAACGCUGGCGGCAGGCCUAACACAUGCAAGUCGAGCGGCAGCACAGAGAGCUUGCUCUCGGGUGACGAGCGGCGGACGGGUGAGUAAUGUCUGGGAAACUGCCCGAUGGAGGGGGAUAACUACUGGAAACGGUAGCUAAUACCGCAUAACGUCGCAAGACCAAAGAGGGGGACCUUCGGGCCUCUUGCCAUCGGAUGUGCCCAGAUGGGAUUAGCUAGUAGGUGGGGUAACGGCUCACCUAGGCGACGAUCCCUAGCUGGUCUGAGAGGAUGACCAGCGACACUGGAACUGAGACACGGUCCAGACUCCUACGGGAGGCAGCAGUGGGGAAUAUUGCACAAUGGGCGCAAGCCUGAUGCAGCCAUGCCGCGUGUAUGAAGAAGGCCUUCGGGUUGUAAAGUACUUUCAGCGGGGAGGAAGGUGUUGAGGUUAAUAACCUCAGCAAUUGACGUUACCCGCAGAAGAAGCACCGGCUAACUCCGUGCCAGCCGCCGCAGUAA
rnacentral:rRNA from 1 species